GACGAACGCUGGCGGCGUGCUUAACACAUGCAAGUCGAACGCUGAAGCUCAGCUUUUGUUGGGUGGAUGAGUGGCGAACGGGUGAGUAACACGUGAGUAACCUGCCCCCUUCUUUGGGAUAACGCCCGGAAACGGGUGCUAAUACUGGAUAUUCACUGGUCUUCGCAUGGGGGUUGGUGGAAAGGGUUUUUCUGGUGGGGGAUGGGCUCGCGGCCUAUCAGCUUGUUGGUGGGGUGAUGGCCUACCAAGGCUUUGACGGGUAGCCGGCCUGGGAGGGUGACCGGUCACAUUGGGACUGAGAUACGGCCCAGACUCCUACGGGAGGCAGCAGUGGGGAAUAUUGCACAAUGGGCGCAAGCCUGAUGCAGCGACGCCGCGUGAGGGAUGGAGGCCUUCGGGUUGUGAACCUCUUUCGCUCAUGGUCAAGCCGCAACAAUGGUUGUGGUGAGGGUAGUGGGUAAAGAAGCGCCGGCUAACUACGUG
rnacentral:rRNA from 1 species